CAAAUGAGGCAAAUGCCUCAUGUUGGAAAUUUCCAAAAAAAACAAAAACAAAAAACUGAAACAGGAUUUUCUUCAUAUCAACCUGAAUUGUUUUCACGGAAAGUGUCUUGCAAGUCUCUCUGAUGUCUCCCGUGCAUGUUUUUCGAGAUCCAUGUUUCUAUUUUACUUUUAGUUUUCAGAAUUGAUGGUCUAUUGUUUGUACUUCUGUGUCCCGGGUUUGUCUUUUGUUCAUUUAUUGUCCUACUUUAUAACUAUAGUCUGCAGAGUGUUGAUUUUCAUUCGUAAACUGUGGUUUUGCCAUGUUGCAUGUCCACCGAUGUCCAGACAUUGUACGAGAAACUAUUUUAAAAAUAUACGAUGCUACUGGACAUAAAAAAAAAUUGUCGUUUCUGCAUGAAGAAUUGAACUUAAUAUCAAAGAAUACAAAACUGGCUCUUUUUUGUAAAUGAAACUAGAUAGCUGACAUGGUUUAAAUUAAAGUAAGACCACCAAUUUCCCGGUAUCAAAUCAUCUUUAAAAAAAGUCAAUGUAUUGCCAUAUGACCUUUUACAUUGAAGGAUUAAACUUGCAUGAAGUCGUGUUUAGACUCUUAAACAGAAAAAAAGAAUAUGGAGUAAACGUGCACAGGACCUUAUCUCACACGAAGUCAAUGCAUAGAAAAAA
rnacentral:lncRNA from 1 species